AUUGAACGCUGGCGGCAGGCCUAACACAUGCAAGUCGAGCGAGCGGCGGACGGGUGAGUAAUGUAUGGGGACUGCCCGAUAGAGGGGGAUAACUACUGGAAACGGUAGCUAAUACCGCAUACUAUCGGCUAACCCAUAUGGGAUUAGGUAGUAGGUGAGGUAAUGGCUCACCUAGGCGACGAUCCCUAGCUGGUCUGAGAGGCUGAUCAGCCACCAUGUGACGGUGACGAGGCCCAGACUCCUAGGGAGGCAGCAGUGGGGAAUCUGGCACAAUGGGCGCAAGCCUGAUGCGGCCAUGCCGCGUGUAUGAUGAAGGCCUUCGGGUUGUAAAGUACUUUUGGCAGAGAAGCGGUAUCUGCAGAAUAAGCACCGGCUAACUACGUGCCAGCCGCCGCGGUAAUAC
rnacentral:rRNA from 1 species